rnacentral:ncRNA from 1 species
UGCUGGUUAAGGAACAGCUAAUUUAAAACACAUAGAACCCUCCAAUAGUCCACGGAAUACUACUAUAUUCGUUAUUAAGAAAUCAGGGGAAUGGAGAUUACUACAAGAUCUAAGAGCUAUCAAUGCCACCAUAGAAGAUAGGGGGUCCCUACAACCAGGACUCCCUUCUCCAACAGCUGUCCCUAAAGGAUCUCACGUUAUGGUAAUAGACUUACAAGACUGCUUUUUUACUAUUCCAUUACAUCCUGAUGAUUGUAAGAAGGUUUGCUUUUAG